rnacentral:rRNA from 1 species
GUAAUGCACAGGAACGUACCCGGAAGUGGGGGAUAGCCCAUCGAAAGAUGGGGUAAUACCGAUGUGAUCGCAAGAUCAAAGCCGAAGGCGCUACCGGAGCGGCUGUGUCCUAUCAGGUUGUUGGUGGGGUAAAGGCCUACCAAGCCUAUGACGGGUAACUGGUCUGAGAGGAUGACCAGUCAGAUCGGGACUGAGACACGGCCGAAUCCUACGGGAGGCAGCAGUUUGGGAAUCUUGCGCAAUGGACGAAAGUCUGACGCAGCGACGCCGCGUGGAGGAUGAAGGCUCUAGGGUCGUAAACUCCUUUUGCUCAGGGAGUAAUUUUUGGAAAGUACCUAGCGAAUCAAGGACCGGCUAACUCCGUGCCAGCAGCCGCGGUAAUACGGAGGGUCCAAACGUUAUCCGGAAUCACUGGGCGUAAAGCGCGUGUCAGGUGGUUGAGUCAGGUG